UGUCCUCCAUAGGAGGUUUAUAUUGAGCAGAUUCUUUUUGGUAUUGGGUGGUGGAACCGGAGCGUGCUCCAUCCACUCCAUGCAUUGACCUGGUCUUCCAGUGCCUCCAGGACCGGUGC
rnacentral:snRNA from 1 species